rnacentral:lncRNA from 1 species
GCAAUGCCAAGAUGAAAAAGCAGAGCUUCCCAAGGAUAAAGAAAGAGUGAGACUGAGAGGAGGACUCAGUGGAAUAUUAUUCUGAUCCCUAGAAGAUUCCUCAGACUGAGGAGAUUGAAGAAGGGAGUGGACACUGAUACCAAGAAGUGAACAGGAGAGAUGGACAA